ACGAAGGGUGCAAGCGUUAAUCGGAAUUACUGGGCGUAAAGGGUGCGUAGGCGGUUCGUUAAGUCUGUUGUGAAAUCCCCGAGCUCAACUUGGGAAUUGCAAUGGAUACUGGCAGGCUGGAGUACGGUAGAGGAAGGUGGAAUUCCCGGUGUAGCAGUGAAAUGCGUAGAGAUCGGGAGGAACACCAGUGGCGAAGGCGACUUUCUGGUCUGUAACUGACGCUGAGGCGCGAAAGCGUGGGGAGCAAACAGGA
rnacentral:rRNA from 1 species